rnacentral:rRNA from 1 species
UACGUAGGUGGCAAGCGUUGUCCGGAUUUACUGGGCGUAAAGAGCGCGCAGGCGGUCGUCCAAGUCGCGUGUGAAAGCCCCCCGGCUCAACUGGGGAGGGUCACGCGAUACUGGUCGACUCGAAGGCAGGAGAGGGUAGUGGAAUUCCCGGUGUGGUGGUGAAAUGCGUAGAUAUCGGGAGGAACACCAGUGGCGAAGGCGACUACCUGGCCUGUUCUUGACGCUGAGGCGCGAAAAGCUAGGGGGAGCAAACGGGG